AAACCAACAGGGAUUGCCCUAGUACGGCGAGUGAAGCGGCAACAGCUCAAAUUUGAAAUCUGGCCUCGGCCCGAGUUGUAAUUUGCAGAGGAAGCUUUAGGCGCGGCACCUUCUGAGUCCCCUGGAACGGGGCGCCAUAGAGGGUGAGAGCCCCGUAUAGUUGGAUGCCUAGCCUGUGUAAAGCUCCUUCGACGAGUCGAGUAGUUUGGGAAUGCUGCUCAAAAUGGGAGGUAAAUUUCUUCUAAAGCUAAAUACCGGCCAGAGACCGAUAGCGCACAAGUAGAGUGAUCGAAAGAUGAAAAGCACUUUGAAAAGAGGGUUAAAUAGCACGUGAAAUUGUUGAAAGGGAAGCGCUUGUGACCAGACUUGCGCCGGGCGGAUCAUCCGGUGUUCUCACCGGUGCACUCCGCCCGGCUCAGGCCAGCAUCGGUUCUCGCGGGGGGAUAAAGGCCCUGGGAACGUAGCUCCUCCGGGAGUGUUAUAGCCCAGGGCGCAAUGCCCUCGCGGGGACCGAGGUUCGCGCAUCUGCAAGGAUGCUGGCGUAAUGGUCAUCAGCGACCCGUCUUGAAACACGGACCAAGGAGUCAAGGUUUUGCGCGAGUGUUUGGGUGUAAAACCCGCACGCGUAAUGAAAGUGAACGUAGGUGAGAGCUUCGGCGCAUCAUCGACCGAUCCUGAUGUUUUCGGAUGGAUUUGAGUAGGAGCGUUAAGCCUUGGACCCGAAAGAUGGUGAACUAUGCUUGGAUAGGGUGAAGCCAGAGGAAACUCUGGUGGAGGCUCGCAGCGGUUCUGACGUGCAAAUCGAUCGUCAAAUCUGAGCAUGGGGCGAAAGAC
rnacentral:rRNA from 1 species